CCCUCCUUCCUGCCUAGCCCGGCCCCACAAAGAGGGGCAGAUGACUCAGGGCGCAACAUCCCCAGAGGGUCCUCGCCAUCUGCUUCUGGGUGAUUCCAGCAGGAAAAGGAAAGGGGGGGCGGUUCAGGAGCUCCUCAGACUUGUCUGCUCGUCGGGACAGGGACAGGGACAUGGAGUUGAAUGUAUCUGCUGGGCAGGAGCGGAGGACAUGGACAUGCCCACUUGUCGAGCGCCGGUCACCGUCGCCUUUGGCCACCCGGGACUACUGCAUACAGCUCUGCCCUCCACUGCCUCUCCAGCCUGCCUUCUUCCUGCCACUUCCUUUGGAAAGUGUCUCAGAUACCAGUUCUCACUAAGAGGUGACUUGUGGCAGCCACGAGGCUGUGCAGAGCAGGCCACACCACGCCCGGCCCCGCCCCUGUGCCCGACCCCCACAGGGACAGGGGCCGCGGAGAGCACCCCAGGCUGCUGGCAGGGCCCAGGCCAGUAUUACGAAGA